rnacentral:rRNA from 1 species
CGCAGCGAGAGGUGCUUGCACCUUUCAAGCGAGUGGCGAACGGGUGAGUAACACGUGGAUAACCUGCCUCAAGGCUGGGGAUAACAUUUGGAAACAGAUGCUAAUACCGAAUAAAACUUAGUAUCGCAUGAUAUCAAGUUAAAAGGCGCUACGGCGUCACCUAGAGAUGGAUCCGCGGUGCAUUAGUUAGUUGGUGGGGUAAAGGCUUACCAAGACAAUGAUGCAUAGCCGAGUUGAGAGACUGAUCGGCCACAUUGGGACUGAGACACGGCCCAAACUCCUACGGGAGGCUGCAGUAGGGAAUCUUCCACAAUGGGCGCAAGCCUGAUGGAGCAACGCCGCGUGUGUGAUGAAGGCUUUCGGGUCGUAAAGCACUGUUGUAUGGGAAGAAAUGCUAAAAUAGGGAAUGAUUUUAGUUUGACGGUACCAUACCAGAAAGGGACGGCUAAAUACGUGCCAGCAGCCGCGGUAAUACGUAUGUCCCGAGCGUUAUCCGGAUUUAUUGGGCGUAAAGCGAGCGCAGACGGUUGAUUAAGUCUGAUGUGAAAGCCCGGAGCUCAACUCCGGAAUGGCAUUGGAAACUGGUUAACUUGAGUGUUGUAGAGGUAAGUGGAACUCCAUGUGUAGCGGUGGAAUGCGUAGAUAUAUGGAAGAACACCAGUGGCGAAGGCGGCUUACUGGACAACAACUGACGUUGAGGCUCGAAAGUGUGGGUAGCAAACAGGAUUAGAUACCCUGGUAGUCCACACCGUAAACGAUGAAUACUAGGUGUUAGGAGGUUUCCGCCUCUUAGUGCCGAAGCUAACGCAUUAAGUAUUCCGCCUGGGGAGUACGACCGCAAGGUUGAAACUCAAAGGAAUUGACGGGGACCCGCACAAGCGGUGGAGCAUGUGGUUUAAUUCGAAGCAACGCGAAGAACCUUACCAGGUCUUGACAUCCUUUGAAGCUUUUAGAGAUAGAAGUGUUCUCUUCGGAGACAAAGUGACAGGUGGUGCAUGGUCGUCGUCAGCUCGUGUCGUGAGAUGUUGGGUUAAGUCCCGCAACGAGCGCAACCCUUAUUGUUAGUUGCCAGCAUUCAGUUGGGCACUCUAGCGAGACUGCCGGUGACAAACCGGAGGAAGGCGGGGACGACGUCAGAUCAUCAUGCCCCUUAUGACCUGGGCUACACACGUGCUACAAUGGCGUAUACAACGAGUUGCCAACCUGCGAAGGUGAGCUAAUCUCUUAAAGUACGUCUCAGUUCGGACUGCAGUCUGCAACUCGACUGCACGAAGUCGGAAUCGCUAGUAAUCGCGGAUCAGCACGCCGCGGUGAAUACGUUCCCGGGUCUUGUACACACCGCCCGUCACACCAUGGGAGUUUGUAAUGCCCAAAGCCGGGGCCUAACCUCGGGAGGGAG